rnacentral:lncRNA from 1 species
AGGGGGUUUUUAGAGUGUGUGACUAGAGCAGGGUUGAGGGGAGCUGGGGAAAGGAGCCCAAGAGAAAAUGUAGAUUUAAUGGAUCUAUAAAAUGACCCUGCUAUAGAUAAACGUUUGUUCCAAAGAAGUUUAAACAGCCUGACGGGCCUUCUGCUAAGAAUAGGCUUUGCAUGUACACACUACUGAACCUUUCCCCGAAAACCUUCUAGGCUUUUCAUCCCAUGAGUGACAUUCAUCUUUCUUGCAGCUGCCUUGCAAGUUCUGCUGAGGAUGAAUUUUAGGCUUUCAACUGUUAAAUUGGUUGUAUUGUAAAUCUAAUCACCGUACUAAAAUGAAGACAUUUGUUCUGGA